UACGGGGGGAGCAAGCGUUGUUCGGAUUUACUGGGCGUAAAGGGCGCGUAGGCGGCCACCGCAAGUCGACUGUGAAAUCCCAGGGCUCAACCCUGGAACUGCCAUUGAUACUGACGGGCUUGAGUUCGGUUAAGGCGGGCGGAACUGGUGGUGUAGCGGUGAAAUGCAUAGAUACCACCAAGAACCCCGAUUGCGUAGGCAGCUCGCUGAGCCGAAACUGACGCUGAGGCACGAAAGCGUGGGGAGCGAACAGG
rnacentral:rRNA from 1 species